CAGGCUUAACACAUGCAAGUCGAGGGGCAGCAUGGUCUUAGCUUGCUAAGACUGAUGGCGACCGGCGCACGGGUGAGUAACACGUAUCCAACCUGCCGUCUACUCUUGGACAGCCUUCUGAAAGGAAGAUUAAUACAAGAUGGCAUCAUGAGUCCGCAUGUUCACAUGAUUAAAGGUAUUCCGGUAGACGAUGGGGAUGCGUUCCAUUAGAUAGUAGGCGGGGUAACGGCCCACCUAGUCUUCGAUGGAUAGGGGUUCUGAGAGGAAGGUCCCCCACAUUGGAACUGAGACACGGUCCAAACUCCUACGGGAGGCAGCAGUGAGGAAUAUUGGUCAAUGGGCGAGAGCCUGAACCAGCCAAGUAGCGUGAAGGAUGACUGCCCUAUGGGUUGUAAACUUCUUUUAUAAAGGAAUAAAGUCGGGUAUGGAUACCCGUUUGCAUGUACUUUAUGAAUAAGGAUCGGCUAACUCCGUGCCAGCAGCCGCGGUAAUACGGAGGAUCCGAGCGUUAUCCGGAUUUAUUGGGUUUAAAGGGAGCGUAGAUGGAUGUUUAAGUCAGUUGUGAAAGUUUGCGGCUCAACCGUAAAAUUGCAGUUGAUACUGGAUAUCUUGAGUGCAGUUGAGGCAGGCGGAAUUCGUGGUGUAGCGGUGAAAUGCUUAGAUAUCACGAAGAACUCCGAUUGCGAAGGCAGCCUGCUAAGCUGCAACUGACAUUGAGGCUCGAAAGUGUGGGUAUCAAACAGGAUUAGAUACCCUGGUAGUCCACACGGUAAACGAUGAAUACUCGCUGUUUGCGAUAUACUGCAAGCGGCCAAGCGAAAGCGUUAAGUAUUCCACCUGGGGAGUACGCCGGCAACGGUGAAACUCAAAGGAAUUGACGGGGGCCCGCACAAGCGGAGGAACAUGUGGUUUAAUUCGAUGAUACGCGAGGAACCUUACCCGGGCUUAAAUUGCAGAUGAAUUACGGUGAAAGCCGUAAGCCGCAAGGCAUCUGUGAAGGUGCUGCAUGGUUGUCGUCAGCUCGUGCCGUGAGGUGUCGGCUUAAGUGCCAUAACGAGCGCAACCCUUGUUGUCAGUUACUAACAGGUUCCGCUGAGGACUCUGACAAGACUGCCAUCGUAAGAUGUGAGGAAGGUGGGGAUGACGUCAAAUCAGCACGGCCCUUACGUCCGGGGCUACACACGUGUUACAAUGGGGGGUACAGAGGGCCGCUACCACGCGAGUGGAUGCCAAUCCCAAAAACCUCUCUCAGUUCGGACUGGAGUCUGCAACCCGACUCCACGAAGCUGGAUUCGCUAGUAAUCGCGCAUCAGCCACGGCGCGGUGAAUACGUUCCCGGGCCUUGUACACACCGCCCGUCAAGCCAUGGGAGCCGGGGGUACCUGAAGUGCGUAACCGCGAGGAGCGCCCUAGGGUAAAACUGGUGACUGGGGCUAAGU
rnacentral:rRNA from 1 species